rnacentral:rRNA from 1 species
UAGGGCGGCGGCUUAGUCGCAUGCAGUCGCAGCGGAUGAGGGAGCUUGUCUCCUGGAUUCAGCGGCGGACGGGUGAGUAAUGCCUAGGAAUCUGCCUGGUAGUGGGGGAUAACGUCCGGAAACGGGCGCUAUACCGCAUACGUCCCUGAGGGAGAAAGUGGGGGAUCUUUCGGACCUCACGCCUAUCAGAUGAGCCUAGGUCGGAUUUAGCUAGUUGGUGGGGGUAAGGGCCUAACCAAGGGCGGACGAUCCGUUAACUGGUCUUGAGAGGAUGAUCAGUCACACGUGGCCACUUGAGACACGGUCCAGACUCCUACUUGCAGCCAACUAUUGGCGCAUAUUCGUACAAUAGACGAAGCUGGAUCAGUCAUGCCUGGGUCGAGAGGGCCUCGAAAUGGACACUAAUUGCGAAGCGGAGUAACUGGAUUUGGGGG